CGUAUCAUUACUGUCUAUUGAGAAAAUCAUAACUAGCUGACUGUUGAGAAAAUCAUAAGAUGAAGUAGAGAGGUUAUUUUCGAUAGACCUCGGCUCAGGACAGAUAACAAUAUAAUAAACAAAACACAUAAAAACAAGCAAAAAUAAGGGAUAUCAUGCCGCUGGAUAGUAAAGGAUAAUAACAGAAACAAGACAACAAGGUAAUACUAUAAAAUAUCUAUUCAAAAAACAUAAAUAUCACCAAUACACCACAGAUGUACUCCUACACAUUAACCCUCUACCCUCUAUCAAGUUGAUAUUUCUUUAUGUUGCGCUGCCUGAAUAUGACAGGUCUUUCUGAAGGAGUUUUGUUAUAUCCUUUUUACAAGCACCUUGUAACAUCCUUAUAUGAGGUUAUUUCUUCUGAAGCCUGCCAAGGACAGAAAACAAACAAGCAGUAAUGCAAGAAACUAGUUGUUUGAAGCAAAAGGAAGAAGAGUGGGCUAGUCUAAUUAAGGAAAAAGAUUCUCAUUUGCUCAAUGACAUAUAUUUCCUUUGCAUAUGGUGUGCUUGAUUCAAAAAAUGAUGUAUUAUGGACUUGGUUCUUUGAGAAUCUGAAAGAGGCAUACAGUGAAAAAAAAGCACAUGUGUGUUGUUUCUGAUUGUAAUGGAAGUAUCAUAAAAGUUGUUGGUGAUGUGUACAAAGAUGUACAAAAUUAUGCAUCUAUGUGACAUUUAUGAAAAAACGUGAAAAAAAUUAUAGAAAGUCACAUGAUGCAUUAUCGGAGAUGUAUUUGAUGUCAUAUGUUUCAUGUAUUUGAAUUUGUUUACUCAUGAAAUUGUUGCAUUUAUUUACUGAA